rnacentral:rRNA from 1 species
AUUGAACGCUGGCGGCAGGCCUAACACAUGCAAGUCGAACGAGUGGCGGACGGGUGAGUAAUGUCUGGGAAACUGCCCGCUGGCGGGGGAUAACUACUGGAAACGGUACCUAAUACCGCAUACCACAGUAUGUGCCCAGAUGGGAUUAGCCAGUAGUGGGGGUAAAGGCUCACCUAGGCGACGAUCCCUAGCUGGUCUGAGAGGAUGACCAGCCACACUGGAACUGAGACACGGUCCAGACUCCUACGGGAGGCAGCAGUGGGGAAUAUUGCACAAUGGGCGCAAGCCUGAUGCAGCCAUGCCGCGUGUAUGAAGAAGGCCUUCGGGGUGUAAAGUACUUUCAGUGAGGAGGCGUUACUCGCAGAAGAAGCAUCGGCUAACUCCGUGCCAGCAGCCGCGGUAAUUC